rnacentral:rRNA from 1 species
AAACCUGAUGCAGCGACGCCGCGUGAGGGAAGACGGCCUUCGGGUUGUAAACCUCUUUCAGCAGGGAAGAAGCCACAAGUGACGGUACCUGCAGAAGAAGCGCCGGCUAACUACGUGCCAGCAGCCGCGGUAAUACGUAGGGCGCAAGCGUUGUCCGGAAUUAUUGGGCGUAAAGAGCUCGUAGGCGGUUUGUCGCGUCUGCUGUGAAAGCCCGGGGCUUAACCCCGGGUGUGCAGUGGGUACGGGCAGACUAGAGUGCAGUAGGGGAGACUGGAAUUCCUGGUGUAGCGGUGGAAUGCGCAGAUAUCAGGAGGAACACCGAUGGCGAAGGCAGGUCUCUGGGCUGUUACUGACGCUGAGGAGCGAAAGCAUGGGGAGCGAACAGGAUUAGAUACCCUGGUAGUCCAUGCCGUAAACGUUGGGCACUAGGUGUGGGGGACAUUCCACGUUUUCCGCGCCGUAGCUAACGCAUUAAGUGCCCCGCCUGGGGAGUACGGCCGCAAGGCUAAAACUCAAAGGAAUUGACGGGGGCCCGCACAAGCGGCGGAUCAUGCGGAUUAAUUCGAUGCAACGCGAAGAACCUUACCAAGGCUUGACAUAUACCG